rnacentral:rRNA from 1 species
UACAGGGGGUGCAAACGUUGCUCGGAAUCAUUGGGCGUAAAGCGCACGUAGGCGGUUCGUUAUGUCGGAUGUGAAAGCCCUUGGCUUAACCGAGGAAGUGCAUCCGAAACUGGCGAGCUAGAGUACGAAAGAGGAUCGCGGAAUUCCCGGUGUAGAGGUGAAAUUCGUAGAGAUCGGGAGGAACACCCGUGGCGAAGGCGGCCACCUGGGCCGACCCUGACGCUGAGGCGCGAAGGCGUGGG